ensembl:lincRNA
AAUCGGGCCAUGUCACCUGUGCAGGGCCACCAAGGCUCAAUGUGAGGGUAACUUCAUUUACAAUUUUUCCACCAUACAGAAGCCCCAAUCCAAGCAUAAGAAAUGCAAGCUGGUCACUAGGGGACGUUCAACUUCCCCAGCCAAAGGAGCCCGGAUCAGGACACAAAUAAGUCCAGGCCCCACCAUUCCACAGAAUGCCAGAUCCCAGGAAGCUGCCGGCUGGCCAACCACCCCUGGAGCCCGGGCGGUCUCAUUUCCAGCAGGUACACCGGCCCCUCUCCCACUACCUGAAUGGCAGGUGGCGCUCAGCAUUCAAGUGGAAGUUACCCAGGGUUUUGUUCAGGAACAAAGAACAACCAACGUGUUGCCAAGAGAAAAAAUGAUCAACAGAAUCAGACUUGGAGGUGACUGGGGGCGAGUGUCAGACAAUGCGGCCACUGGCCUGGCCUCUAGUGCGGUGGUGUGGGAGACAAAGAGCCUGGCAGGAGGUCCUGAGGUCAUGCUGGGCUGUCCUCGGGAGUGAGUGACGUGGUCCUCACCAGGUGGUGGCCACAGAAGCCCGCUCCCCUCUGGCCAGCCUCCAGCUUCCUGCCUGGGGACGGGAUCUCUUGGACCUGGACAUGCCCCUGUGGUUGCCAUUUGUCAUGAGGACCUCGUCAGAGCCCAUGCCAUGCCAUUUGGACUUUUAGCCUCCAAAAUGUGGGCUAAAUAAACCUGUUUUCUUCAUGAGUAGUU